rnacentral:rRNA from 1 species
GUGAAGCAAAUACGCACCAAAGCCAGUCCCAGUUCGGAUAAGAGGCUGAAACUCGCCNCUUUGAAGUCGGAAUCGCUAGUAAUCGCAGAUCAGCAUGUUGCGGUGAAUACGUUCCCGGGUCUUGUACACACCGCCCGUCAAACCAUGAGAGUCACCAACACCCGAAGUCCGCCUUGGCGGCCUAAGGUGGGGGAGAUGAUUGGGGUUAAGUCGUAACAAGGUAGC